CAGCCGCGUAAUUCCAGCUCCAAUAGCGUAUAUUAAAGUUGUUGCAGUUAAAAAGCUCGUAGUUGAAUUUCGGGAUCAAUUAAUUGGUCGUGCCUCUGGUACGUACUGAUUUUAUUGGUUUCUCCCUUCUGACGAACCAUGAUGUCAUUAAUUUGGUGUCGUGGAGAAUCAGGACUGUUACUUUGAAAAAAUUAGAGUGUUUAAAGCAAGCUAACGCUUGAAUACAUUAGCAUGGAAUAAUGAAAUAGGACGUUUGAUCCUAUUUUGUUGGUUUCUAGGAUCGACGUAAUGAUUAAUAGGGAUAGUUGGGGGCAUUAGUAUUCAAUUGUCAGAGGUGAAAUUCUUGGAUUUAUUGAAGACUAACUACUGCGAAAGCAUUUGCCAAGGAUGUUUUCAUUAAUCAAGAACGAAAGUUAGGGGAUCGAAGACGAUCAGAUACCGUCGUAGUCUUAACCAUAAACUAUGCCGACUAGGGAUCGGAUGAUGUUAAUUUUUUAAUGACUCAUUCGGCGCCUUAUG
rnacentral:misc_RNA from 1 species